rnacentral:rRNA from 1 species
GAUGAACGCUGGCGGCGUGCCUAAUACAUGCAAGUCGAGCGAACGGACGAGAAGCUUGCUUCUCUGAUGCUAGCGGCGGACGGGUGAGUAACACGUGGAUAACCUACCUAUAAGACUGGGAUAACUUCGGGAAACCGGAGCUAAUACCGGAUGAUAUUUUGAACCGCAUGGUUCAAAAGUGAAAGACGGUCUUGCUGUCACUUAUAGAUGGAUCCGCGCUGCAUUAGCUAGUUGGUAAGGUAACGGCUUACCAAGGCAACGAUGCAUAGCCGACCUGAGAGGGUGAUCGGCCACACUGGAACUGAGACACGGUCCAGACUCCUACGGGAGGCAGCAGUAGGGAAUCUUCCGCAAUGGGCGAAAGCCUGACGGAGCAACGCCGCGUGAGUGAUGAAGGUCUUCGGAUCGUAAAACUCUGUUAUUAGGGAAGAACAUAUGUGUAAGUAACUGUGCACAUCUUGACGGUACCUAAUCAGAAAGCCACGGCUAACUACGU